UACGUAGGCAGCGAGCGUUGUUCGGAGUUACUGGGCGUAAAGGGUGCGUAGGCGGUUGUUUAAGUCUGCCGUGAAAUCCCCGGGCUCAACCUGGGAAUGGCGGUGGAUACUGGAUAGCUAGAGUGUGUCAGAGGAUGGUGGAAUUCCCGGUGUAGCGGUGAAAUGCGUAGAGAUCGGGAGGAACAUCAGUGGCGAAGGCGGCCAUCUGGGACAACACUGACGCUGAAGCACGAAAGCGUGGGGAGCAAACAGGG
rnacentral:rRNA from 1 species